UACAGAGGGUGCGAGCGUUAAUCGGAAUUACUGGGCGUAAAGCGUGCGUAGAUGGUUAUGUAAGUCGGAUGUGAAAGCCCCGGGCUCAACCUGGGAAUUGCAUUCGAGACUGCCUAGCUAGGAUGCGGAAGAGGGAAGCGGAAUUUCCGGUGUAGCGGUGAAAUGCGUAGAUAUCGGAAGGAACACCUAUGGCGAAGGCAGCUCGCUGGGACGUUACUGACGCUGAGACGCGAAAGCGUGGGGAGCAAACAGG
rnacentral:rRNA from 1 species